GAAUGGACGUACCUCUGGUGUAUCUGUUGUCACGCCAGUGGCAGUGCAGAGUAGCUAUGUACGGAAUGGAUAACCGCUGAAAGCAUCUAAGCGGGAAGCCAACUCCAAGAUGAGUUUUCCCAUUUUUUAUAAAUGUAAGUUCCCUCUAAGACUAAGAGGUUGAUAGGCCAGAGGUGGAAGCAUGGCAACAUGUUGAGCUGACUGGUACUAAUAGAACGAGGAUUUAAUCCCAUUU
rnacentral:rRNA from 1 species